rnacentral:rRNA from 1 species
AACUCUAAGCGGUGGAUCACUCGGCUCGUGUGUCGAUGAAGAGCGCAGCAAGCUGCGUGAAUUAAUGUGAAUUGCAGGACACAUUGAACAUCGAUAUCUUGAACGCAUAUUGCGGCCUCGGGCAUUCCCGAGGCCACGCCUGUCUCAGGGUCGGUUGAAAGUCGAUCGCGAG